ACGGGCCUGGCUCAACCCG
rnacentral:snRNA from 1 species